GACGAACGCUGGCGGCGUGCUUAACACAUGCAAGUCGAACGGAAAGGCCCUGCUUUUGUGGGGUGCUCGAGUGGCGAACGGGUGAGUAACACGUGAGUAACCUGCCCUUGACUUUGGGAUAACUUCAGGAAACUGGGGCUAAUACCGGAUAGGAGCUCCUGCUGCAUGGUGGGGGUUGGAAAGUUUCGGCGGUUGGGGAUGGACUCGCGGCUUAUCAGCUUGUUGGUGGGGUAGUGGCUUACCAAGGCUUUGACGGGUAGCCGGCCUGAGAGGGUGACCGGCCACAUUGGGCCUGCGAUACGGCCCAGACUCCUACGGGAGGCAGCAGUGGGGAGUAUUGCACAAUGGGCGGAAGCCUGAUGCAGCAACGCCGCGUGCGGGAUGACGGCCUUCGGGUUGUAAACCGCUUUCGCCUGUGACGAGGCGUGAGUGACGGUAAUGGGUAAAGAAGCACCGGCUAACUACGUG
rnacentral:rRNA from 1 species